ACGGGUGAGUAAUAUAUCGGAACGUGCCCAGUCGUGGGGGAUAACUGCUCGAAAGAGCAGCUAAUACCGCAUACGACCUGAGGGUGAAAGCGGGGGAUCGCAAGACCUCGCGCGAUUGGAGCGGCCGAUAUCAGAUUAGGUAGUUGGUGGGGUAAAGGCCCACCAAGCCAACGAUCUGUAGCUGGUCUGAGAGGACGACCAGCCACACUGGGACUGAGACACGGCCCAGACUCCUACGGGAGGCAGCAGUGGGGAAUUUUGGACAAUGGACGCAAGUCUGAUCCAGCCAUGCCGCGUGCGGGAAGAAGGCCUUCGGGUUGUAAACCGCUUUUGUCAGGGAAGAAAAGGUUCUGGUUAAUACCUGGGACUCAUGACGGUACCUGAAGAAUAAGCACCGGCUAACUACGUGCCAGCAGCCGCGGUAAUACGUAGGGUGCAAGCGUUAAUCGGAAUUACUGGGCGUAAAGCGUGCGCAGGCGGUUAUGCAAGACAGAGGUGAAAUCCCCGGGCUCAACCUGGGAACUGCCUUUGUGACUGCAUAGCUAGAGUACGGUAGAGGGGGAUGGAAUUCCGCGUGUAGCAGUGAAAUGC
rnacentral:rRNA from 1 species